AUAGCUACAUUAGUUGCUGUUCUGUCGACAUUCUAACCUAAUUUCAUUUGUCAAAAUAUAUAUCAAUUGAAUGUAUUUACAAUAAGACCGCAAUGUGCACAAAAUAAGUCAGAUGGUGAUCAAUAGAUGUACGUUAAUUUUUACAUUGAUCAUUAUUAAUUCUAAAUCAUGAAUUUAAUAUGAUUUACUUAAUGAACUAGCUUGAAUCCUAAUUAAAUUGCUAGUGACAAUAUUAUAAUUAAUAUGAGAACUGGAAAAGCAACAGAAGCCACAGUUCUGUCAACGAUUUAACCAAAUUUUAUUUGUGAACUUAUUCAAAAAAUGACAGGAGUAAGAAUGGGAAAAAAUGAAUUCUUAAUCAAUGGAUAUUUGUUUUAAAUGUACGUCAAUUCGUACGUUGCCCACCAAAUUGACGGAAUUUCCACCGAUGGCGCAAGAAAGAUGAAUCGAAGAAAACGCAUUUGAAGAUUCUCUAAUUGUCGCAGUGAUAUGAAAGUGUUCAUUCAUAGAGUGUGAACACAUGCAAGUGCAAUUUAAAAAGAGAGAUUUUAUUUAUUUAUAAUAUAUUUUGACAAAUGAAAUUAGGUUAGAAUGUCGACAGAACAGCAACUAAUGUAGCUAUUUAGGUUCUCAUCUUAAUAUCCUUGCUACGAUUAAUUUAAUUAGCACGCAAAUUAGUUCAUUAAUUUAAAUAUAAUAAAUUAAUGAUGUAAGAAUAAUAAUUAAUUUUAUUAUUUACGUCGACUGUUUUUUUUAAAGACACGACAAGUUUUUUAAAUGUGUUUAUGUUCUAGUUCGCAUGCGUACUGAGAUACGCGCGACUUAUUCUCGCGGGAAAUAGAUUAAAUUUAAAGUUGUACUGUAAAAAAGGAUGAAUGAAAAUUAUCAGUGGAUUUCAACGAUGAAAACUCUCUUUCUGAUGUCUUGACUGGAAGGAAGGAUGGAAGCAAACAACACUGACCUACCUCGACGGACUGCUAGCUGUCAUCCUACCAGCUGAUCAUCUGGCAUCGUUCGGCAGGGAAAUAAAGUUAUUUCCCUGUUGAGGUUUAGAUAUAAUUUGGAUUUACUUGUUUCCAUAUCAUUUAUGACGUGUCUAAUCUAGAGUCCAAUGGAAUCUAUUGACAUGACUGGCCUACCAGGACCAGAAUAAUUUUGAGGACACUGAUGUUGCUGAACAUCAAGGACAAGGUGAUGCAGAUCCAAGGACACACCGCCGCUUUAAUUUUUUUUUUUUCUGUUUCAGAUCCAGUCAACGAGAAUGAGGAUAUCCAUGGGUGCCAAGGAAUGCCGAGACCAGGAGAAGGAGGACCAGGACCAAGAAGAAGACCAAUUAUUUAUUUAAUUAAUUUAAUUAUUUAUUUAUUAUUUAUUUGUAUUUUUUAUAUUUAUUCAUUUAAUUUUAGCUGACUUGUAAUUAGUUUUAAAUAAUUAUUUUGUUAAGGUGUGAGUGUGAUGGAUGCUGUACGAGUGAUUUAUAAUUUAUGAAUUUAAUUUAUAUUUUUAUUUUAUAUGAAUGAGUACGAGUGGCAUGUUUUUAUUGCAUGGCUUGUGCUUGCUUGUUUUUUUUUUUAUUUUUUUCGGGUUUGAUCGCAUGGUUUGGAUUGUUUAUAUUUAAUUUAAUUUUAUUCCUUAUUUUUCCCUUCCCUUUUAUUUUUAAGUGUGUUUUUUUUAUUCGGGUUUUGAUCGCAUGGUUUGGUUUGCUUCUAUUUAAUUUUAUUUUCCCUUUUUUUUAUUCCCAUUCCCGCUUAAUUUUAAGUCUUUUUUAUUAUUAUUUAAUUUAAAUUUAAGAGUGUGAUCAGUGUGUGUGUGAUUUUGUUUAUUGGGAUUUCCAGGCACGGAUACUAAUAGUAAGUUUUAAUUUUAUGAAAUUUUUAUUUAAUUUUAUAUUUAUAUAUAUUGAAUUGUAUAUUUUAUGUAUUUAUUUUAUAAUUGUUUAAUGUAUAAUAUUUUGUAUUUGUAUUUAGUUUUAUUUAGCUUUUUUUUGGUCACCAAUCGAGUGAUCACUGUGUUGGUCGGGUUUUUUCACUGAUAAAAACCUCCGAUUUAAACCGAUAGAUUCCGGGUCUAUCGGAUUUUUAUCGGAGUAUUUUAUCGGUGUCGAGGUUUCCCAAACGGGCUAUUUUCUUUCUUCCAAAAGAAAAUAGCCUAGACCAGUACAAUUGUAUUUCUAAACAAAUACAAUUGUAGGUGAAUGCGCACAGUAUAGGAAGUCGGU